rnacentral:lncRNA from 1 species
AAUGAUUUCAGUGGCUAUAUAUAUAUGUAUAGAUGAAGAUAUAUCUUCACAAGGCGGUAUGGGUUCUGCAAUGAAGAAGAGAUCAUGGUGGCCUGUGUGCUUUCUUGCAUUAUUCAUUAUGCUAGUUUUUGCAUGGAUCCUCAGAGGUACGUAUAUUAAUAAAACUAAUAUUCCGUCCCUUAGCACUAAAAGAUAAUUUUUUAAAAAAAUCAAAAUUCAAAUCUUUAUAUGUGUUUGUAAAUGAAUAUAGAAUAUACUGUAGGUGAUUUUGGUUGUAUAUAUGAACUCUGUGAGCAUAAAUUUUUUAUUAUGGUGUGUAAGCAUUUUCCAUCAAUAAAUUACUUUUUUACUUUUUUCAAUAUAUAUAUAUAUAUCUAUAUAUAUAUACAUAUUGUAGGUGAUGAGAUGAAGUUGAUGGAUGGAGAAAUUGGCGCAGCAUCAAGAUCAGUGAAACACACAAUCAGGAAACUGAUGGACAUACCAAAACCUCGAAGGAUCGAUUUCAGACCUCCGCCACCAGCUCCAUGGCGUCCGGAGCCACCAAGGCCUGUGGGCAUAAAUGUUUGAUUGUGGUGUAUAAGCUUUUUCUAUCAAUAAAUUAUUUUUUAUUUUCCAUCAAAUAAAUUGUUAUUAAUUAUAAAAUAAAAACAAAAAUU